rnacentral:rRNA from 1 species
ACAUCCAGAGAACUUAGCAGAGAUGCUUUGGUGCCUUCGGGAACUCUGAGACAGGUGCUGCAUGGCUGUCGUCAGCUCGUGUUGUGAAAUGUUGGGUUAAGUCCCGNAACGAGCGCAACCCUUAUCCUUUGUUGCCAGCGGUUCGGCCGGGAACUCAAAGGAGACUGCCGGUGAUAAACCGGAGGAAGGUGGGGAUGACGUCAAGUCAUCAUGGCCCUUACGGCCAGGGCUACACACGUGCUACAAUGGCGCAUACAAAGAGAAGCGACCUCGCGAGAGCAAGCGGACCUCAUAAAGUGCGUCGUAGUCCGGAUUGGAGUCUGCAACUCGACUCCAUGAGGUCGGAAUCGCUAGUAAUCGUAGAUCAGAAUGCUACGGUGAAUACGUUCCCGGGCCUUGUACACACCGCCCGUCACACCAUGGGAGUGGGUUGCAAAAGAAGUAGGUAGCUUAACCUUCGGGAGGGCGCUUACCACUUUGUGAUUCAUGACUGGGGUGAAGUCGUAACAAGGUAAGCGUAGUGCU